AGCAGCCGCGGUAAUUCCAGCUCCAAUAGCGUAUAUUAAAGUUGCUGCAGUUAAAAAGCUCGUAGUUGAAUUUCGGGACCAUCAUGUUGGUCGUGCCUCGGUACGUACUGGCAUUGUUGGUUUCUCCCUUCUGACGAACCAUGAUGUCAUUUAUUUGGUGUCGUGGGAAAUCAGGACUGUUACUUUGAAAAAUUAGAGUGUUUAAAGCAGGCUCACGCUUGAAUACAUUAGCAUGGAAUAAUGAAAUAGGACGUUUGAUUCUAUUUUGUUGGUUUCUAGGAUCGACGUAAUGAUUAAUAGGGAUAGUUGGGGGCAUUAGUAUUCAAUUGUCAGAGGUGAAAUUCUUGGAUUUAUUGAAGACUAACUACUGCGAAAGCAUUUGCCAAGGAUGUUUUCAUUAAUCAAGAACGAAAGUUAGGGGAUCGAAGACGAUCAGAUACCGUCGUAGUCUUAACCAUAAACUAUGCCGACUAGGGAUCGGAUGAUGUUAAAUUUUUUAAUGUACUCAUUCGGCG
rnacentral:misc_RNA from 1 species